rnacentral:lncRNA from 1 species
GUGAAUACCUGACAUUAGUAAACAAGCUAGGGUGAGAUUGUUGAGAAUGAAUAGGUCACGAUUGCUCAUUAAUUCCUCAAAAUGGGUCAUAAACUCUAUAAAGAUGGACGUAACCUUCAACAAUUUGUAUGCACAGAUAUUUUUAUGUUUUUUCUUUGGCUAACAAUUUUUUCUCUUGUUAAAAAAUAAUCGAAGAUUAAGAAAGAAAGGGGGUCCAAGACAAGAAGAAUUUAGAACAAGAGGAAAAAUUGCUCUUUAUUCAUAUAAUCGGUUGUCCAUUACAAUGAACAAUGCCCUCUAUUUAUAGAGUAAAUAAGCUAAGACGCUAAAAUGAAAUAAACUUCUAAUGAUAUAAAAAUAUCAAAACUAAUCUAAUGAAAUCUAAUCAAAUAUGUUUUAAAUCAAACUCUUAUUUAAAAUCCUAAUUAAAAUAUAUUUUUAUUCUAAUCUCUAUCUUAAUUUUCAUCAUUUCUCCCCGACUGAGGGAACUCGACUCUGACGAGUUAGACGGGAACUUCAUAGCCAAGGUGGUCGAUCUUUUGUCUUGAUCAAGUGUCUGAACUGAAUUUUGAAUAGCAUCAUCUUGUUGAACUCGUACCAAGGAUUGCGAUCUUUCUUAAGAACUAAGUAUUUGAACCGAUCAUGUGACAUCAACUGACUCUGUAAAUUAUCCCCAAGAAUAUGAUCUGACAAAGGAGGACAAUCACUCCUAACCAGAUUGCAACACGGAACUCCGAAUAGAAGAAAUUUAUGCAACUCAACCACAAAAUUUUCAAUUGGUUGUGCGUAAAGAAUCGCACAAGGAACUAGCACUACAGACUGGCCUGUAGAAAAAAUGAUUGCAACAAAGAAGGCUCGAAUAGGCCCCGACAAUGAAACAAUUCUUGUAUAUUGAAAAUAUAACUUUCAUUUAAGUGCGAUGGUCAGUCAAAUAGACAAUUUUUAUAUGGGUGCUCCAAAACUUUUUCUUAAGACAAUGAGACACGUAACAAUUAAUAAUAAUCAUAAGGGUCUCUUAACCUAUGUUGCACAUCGAAAGUAAGUUCAAAAAUUUCAUGAUUGAAAAUAAUAUGUCGCAUUAAUUUGACAUAAAAUUUAGGAACAUUGAUAGCAACAUGAUGAACUAAUGCCAUAUGUCUGUAUUUAGUAGUCAACAAAUUAAUGUCAAUAGGAAAAGUGUGCAAGCGAAUAAUUGCCUUUGAAAAAUCUUUGCAACUGGAGGAGUAUUGAUCAUUUGAGGUAACGUAACAAUAAACUCUACUUUAAAAGAAGAUUCAGGAGUGGGCUAACUGUUUGGUCGAUGUGUCAAUACUAACGAUAACUCAGGAACUGUAUCAUGGUCAAUUAUGGCUAAGGUGGAUGUGAGAGGGGAUACGAGACAAGUUUCAAAACUCUCAUCCUCACUAUCAAAAAUAUCAAUUGGUUCAACAAUAAAAGCCUCAUUUUCUUCUACAUGAGGAGGAUUAACAUAACUAAAUUUAGAAAGUGAUUGGAGUAAUGUAUCUAGUUUUGUACACAAUUGAUUAAGUUGAAAAGAUAUGUACCAAUGAUUGCCCAGAUGGUAAGCUUCAU